AAUAACCCUUUCUGGUUUGUCCACCUCUAUAGGGUUAAGUCUCUGAUGUUUAAUAGCCACCUAACUUUUAAUAUAAGAAAUGACAUUAGUGUCAUACAUUUUCUGAAUGACAUUUUGGAAUAGCACAUACUGGUAAUAAAUGCAUUGUAGUUUGUUGACACAUAUACCCACAGGCACCUGGAGCCUUAGUAGAACAUAAUUACGAACAAAAUUACAUUAAAUAAAGUGACAUGCCUAUCACAAAUCAAAGAUUACUCAUGGUGUCCUACCCAACAACAAACAUUUAAUAUAGAAUCUCCAGCUAAAACAGAGACCAAGUUAACACUUUCUUUAAGGAAAGCUACAGAUGCACAACUAAAAAAUGUAGAGAUCUGCAAAAGGCCAAAACAAGUUUCUUUGUUAAUUGACACCCAUUGAACAAGUCCCUUUUAAUAGCAGCAACAACUAUAAUGAAGAAGAACGGCUCUACAGAUUUUCACUCCAGAUCAGAACCCAUGGUGCACAUGAGGUCUGUAGGCUGAUUCAGUUUUUUCCUUUUCCACUAUACAUUUGGGUGGGUGGGUGACAAAGUGAAAAUCCAGGGUGCCUGCCUCAACCUUUAUGUCCCAGGCCAUUCACACAUGGCUUCAUAACAAUAUUCAUGCUUAACUUGCAAUGCACAUAAGCAUGAUCCUGGAUUUUAUCACACAUAAAGAAUGUGGCCCAGAUAAAGGCAUCAUCCAGUUCAGCUGUGUGAACAAAGGCUGCUGCUAAAGUCAGUAUCAGGGCAUUGUGAUUCAUAGGGGUGAGCAACGGUAGUGGGGUGGGCGGGCUGUAGUUUCAUUUUACCAUUCGUUUUCAUUUUUAAAAUUACAUUCAUUUCUUUUCCCUCUUGUUUGGAUUGUUUGUUUGCUUCAUUCAUUUUUGUUCUUUUGGUUUUUGCCUCAUUGUUCCACUUUCAAACCAGGAAGGGAAUGUAAAGGCGAGGAUUGGGGCAAGGCAAGGCUGUGAUGAGGUUGAGGAUGCUCUGAUGGCAGUGGCAUCCUGCUGCCACCCCUCUGCCCCUCCGACCUUGCCUCUGCCUUGCCCCCACUCCACCGAAGUGAGUGGUAGUACUGCUGCUAUGACUCACCGCUGUCACUCCGCACCCAUCACAACACUGCUGCCCAUCUUCCCUGUUGGUUUUCAGCACAAAACAAAUGGAAUGCGUUCAUUUUGUUUUUAAUUCAUUUUUUUUAUAAAAAUUAAUCCCUUGUUGUGAGAUUAUCCUUCUGAAAUCUGGCUCAUGGGACUCAGAUUGUAGGACUCCAGAUGGCAGGCUUUCUUUCAGAAAAAAAUUAUUUAUAGGAAAAGAGGGACGUAAUCUUGUUAUGUUUCAGAAACUUACAUUAAUUCUGCCUAGCAGAUUUCCUUUUUGACUGGCACAAUGUCUCCAGUGCAGCUUUAAUCAAAAGUUUGAAUUCCUGAUGAAAAUCUUGCAUGCUGUGCCUGACUAGACAGCUUCCCACAAGACUUCCUGGUGGCCAAGGGUGCAAAGGACAGGGCAGGGUUUCCCCUGUACUUGACUCACUUCAAAGGAUGGUGUCUGAAUUAUUUCAGGAAACACACUUGCCGGAAGUGCUAUUUUUCUAGAAAAAGAGGUGCCAGAACUGACCAUGAGCGCUUCCUUUGUUUUCUUAUAAUGGCAAUGGUGCCCACCUGAGAGGUGUCUGAACUGGGUUCUGGCGAGUUUCAGUUGAAGAAAGGCCCUGCACUUAGUUCCAAAGAGUCCUAUUGUAUUUCUUCACUUGUGGUACUGUGGAGAUAUGCUUAGCUCAACACAGCAUGGUAAUAAAGCAGCCAUCUUCUGCAGUGGAAAGGCAAAUCCCCAAGGUCUGAAGUUCAUCAGCACCAAUGUGAUUUCUAAAUAAAAACAACACCUAGCUAGAUCGCUUUAGAGAAGGGAUAGCUAACAUGGUGCCCUCCACAUUUGUUGGACUACAACUUUCAUCAGCUCCAGCUAACAUAGUCAAUGGCUAUGGUUGAUGGGAGUUGUAGUCCAACAAGAUCUGAAGGGCACCAUGUUGGUGGCCCCUGCUUCAGAGUGAUGUUAAGAUACCUGUAAUCCUCAGAAUAACCCUGAAGAAUAGGCCUGUAUUAUCAUCCUCCUAUUGCAGAUGGGGGUGUCAUGGCUGAGAAAGAGUGGUCAAACUGAGGGACUACCUGUAGCUCUCUAAAUUAGGUGGAAGCUGCAGCUGGGCAGCAGAAGACGCAGAGGGCUAUUGGCUUCAUGCUCUGCUUGUGUGCCUUCCCACUGUGCGAAACAGGAUGUGACCUUUUCUUUUGUUCUCAAUGGCUGCAUCAAGAACUGUGGAGGCCACCGGGCAGGUAUAACAGCCUAACUACUGAAACGUAAAUGCAUCACAGUUUGUAUAUGCAGACAGAAAGAUACAAGCAAAAAUUAUGCAGGCAUUUGUGAUUCAGCAGGUCUCUGAAAAGAGCUGAAUACGAUUUAAGAAAAAUAAAUGUGUGAACUUUGAAGGGCCAAUUGAGAAAAUACCCACUAUUUUCAAAAUUACAGUGUUUGUAUGUUUCACCAAACUUGUGAUUUAAUGGGAAAGCUAGCUAGAAAAUUCUUAAAGUGCUUUUUAAUGGUUUUGACUCGUGGGGCAAAGCAUAUACAUCUAAAGUUUAAAAUGAUUAUUUCUAGAAGAGACUUCUAUUGCUGACGUUUCUCUAGGUCUUUGCCACUGCAAUGAUGCUUACCUAAGCUUUUCAAGAAACACCGCAAUAUCAGAAUGCAGUUAUAGAUAAAUAAUGUGGAAAAAUAAUUAUGCCAUUGAGAUUACAAUUUAGUUCGGGUCCCUCCAGAAGCCUUUGCCAACUUGGUGCCCCUCUGUAUGUCUUGGAGUACAAAGUUUUUAUCUCCGUUAAAAAAGACACAAUAAAACACAACUUUAAAAUGGAAUGACUUAUAUAAAAUAAAGGAAUAUUCAAUAAUCUAUUUGAAUAUAAUAGUGCACAAUAAAAUUAACUCUCAAAACACUAGCAAAUAAUAAUUAAACCGAAAUUCACUCUUAACAAUUACAAUAAAUAAUUACUAAACUAUGAUCGAUAAAAGUAACUGCAAGUCACAAUGCAUAAAAUACCAUAAUAACUUGAAACUUGCCCCCCCAACCCUCCUCUUCCCCCUUCUCAGCUGCUGCUCCUGCUGUUCUUAAAGUCAAGGCAUGGGAGAGGCUAAUUGCUCACCUGGGCUUGAUUGGGGGGAGGCGAGGCUCUUUCCUGCUUCAUUGCACUUCCUCGCUGAAGAAGCUGACUUCUGCCGAAUUAUUUUAGAGUCCUUCUGUAGGUUUUCUUUUGGUGGGACUUUUCCAAACAACUUCCAGCCAGGAGCACUGUGAACAGCAGGUUUGAAUGCCGUUGUCCUUUUAUUUAAAAAAGUUCCUCAUGAAGAAUUUGGCAAAGCUGGAGCUCCCAGCUGUCUGGGGCGCUGAGGCGAUGGCUCACCUCAAAGGUGUUGCAGGAGUUGAGAUUGAUGCCCAUGAAGGCCAGAGAGGGCAGGCACCCUCCCGGGAUUCCUGGUCUGAAGACAGCUACGCCUCCUGGGCUUCUCAUGCAGGUCUUGCUCCCGAAUGAGCCCCAUUCUUCAUUGGGGUGGCUCCAUCUUUUGCAGCCUGUUCUGCCACUUGUAUGCCCAAUAAGAUGAGCCCAAAAGCUGCACCAAUAGUACCACUUAUGGCAGGUGGCCAGGAUUAGUGUGGGAACCCUCCAUGCCAGUUGCAGUAAUAUGUUCCGACAGUCUCUACAGUUAACAACCACAGUUCAAGGUUUCUUUCUUAGCUGUGCUUGGGAGAUAGUAGGGAUUGAAUCUGGGAUCUUCUAGAUGCAAGGCAGAUGCUCUCCCUCUAAGUUACAGCCCUUUGCCUGAUAUACUGCUGCUAUGCCUGAUAUUGUUAUUCUACAGUUAAUUCACUUUAAGUUUUUUGAUGCAAACUCCUUUGAGGUGGUUGUUUUUUGUUUAAAAAGAUAGUUUGUUCUCCUCUAAAUUCCUAGCUAGGCUAUUUUACUCAAAACAAAAACCAGAGCAGGAGCAGUCUGAAAAGUCAUGGUCAGUGAUGGUCUUCUGGAUAGUCUGAACAUAAGGUGAAAAAAUGCAUGUUUAAAAUGAAAGGUUUAAGAAGUUGCAGUAUGGUUGCACUGCAUUGUGGUAGUGUCAGAAGCUACUGCAGGCCCUUUGGUUCUCUAGAGAGCUGCCCUGUGGAGUUAAUUGUCAUUUGUAGUCUCUUCUUGACAUGGAAGCAUUUUCAGGCUCCGGCGUUGUCUGUUUUGCUAUUCGACUCGCCUAGACAGGAAGAGGUAUAGAAGGUUUCCUGUCUGAGCUGGGACUUUGCAUGAGUGUCAACUAUCUUACUAACUCCUGGUUCACCUCUGAUAGCUUUCUGUGGCCCAGUCCUGACAGAGAGGAAAGGCUAAAAUGGAAAUUUCUGAAGCAGUGCCCUUUUUUUUCAUUUGUUCUACAGUCAUGCAGGGUGCAGGGUUAUGGCCUUAAGUUUGUAAAGAGCCAUAAGUCUUCUUGUCAUUUUUAUAGAUUAAUGGGAGCAAAACAGAUUAUGCCAUUGACACAAGGAAUUCUUUAAACCUGUUUUGUUGGCCAAUCGUGCUAGAAUGCUUUUGAGCUUGUUGGGUAAUUGGAUUUUGUUGUGGGAAUUUAGGGAAUGUUUAUGCAUGGCUCAGUAGCAAAGCGCUUGCUCUGCAUGGAAAAAGUUCCAGGUUCAAUUCCCAGCACCGUUGGGUGGGGAUGGGAAUGUCCCUGGUCUAAAAUCCUGAAGAGCUGCUGCCAGUCAGUGUAGACAAUACUGGGCUUGAUGGAUCAAUGGCCUGACUUGAUAAGGCAGUUUCCUCCUAUGUUCUUAUGUGCUGCUGAGUGUUCCAGAUGAUGGCUCCUUGCCUUACAGGUUGAAAAGGAAUGAUGAUACAGUGGUACCUCGGGUUAAGUACUUAAUUUGUUCUGGAGGUCCGUUCUUAAUCUGAAACUGUUCUUAACCUGAAGCACUACUUUAGCUAAUGGGGCCUCCAGCUGCCAGAGCACGAUUUCUGUUCUCAUCCUGAAGCAAAGUUCUUAACCCGAGGUAAUAUUUCUGGGUUAGCGGAGUCUGUAACCUGAAGCAUAUGUAACCCGAGGUACCACUGUAUUGAAACAAAGGUUGAUCAAAACACCCCAGUGUUCUUAAGAGGAAAUGGCUUUUGUAAAGGUUUCCCUAACUCAUCGUCAGUUUUAGAAAAGGGACUGAAACAAUGCUUUGCAAUUGUGUUGAGAGACAUUCUGAGGAGACAGUUUGUUCACCAUAUUGCACCAUAAAGUCU